rnacentral:rRNA from 1 species
GACGAACGCUGGCGGCGUGCUUAACACAUGCAAGUCGAACGGAAAGGCCCUGCCUUUGUGGGGUGCUCGAGUGGCGAACGGGUGAGUAACACGUGAGUAACCUGCCCUUGACUUUGGGAUAACUUCAGGAAACUGGGGCUAAUACCGGAUAGGAGCUCCUGCUGCAUGGUGGGGGUUGGAAAGUUUCGGCGGUUGGGGAUGGACUCGCGGCUUAUCAGCUUGUUGGUGGGGUAGUGGCUUACCAAGGCUUUGACGGGUAGCCGGCCUGAGAGGGUGACCGGCCACAUUGGAACUGAGAUACGGCCCAGACUCCUACGGGAGGCAGCAGUGGGGAAUAUUGCACAAUGGGCGGAAGCCUGAUGCAGCAACGCCGCGUGCGGGAUGACGGCCUUCGGGUUGUAAACCGCUUUCGCCUGUGACGAAGCGUGAGUGACGGUAAUGGGUAAAGAAGCACCGGCUAACUACGUG